AUUGAACGCUAGCGGGAUGCCUUACACAUGCAAGUCGAACGGAGUGGCGAACGGGUGAGUAAUGUAUCGGCACGUGCCCAGUAGCGGGGGAUAACUACGCGAAAGCGUAGCUAAUACCGCAUACACUUGGGGCGGCCGAAAUGUGAUAAGCUAGUUGGUGGGGUAACGGCGUACAAGGGCCACGAUCCGUAGCUGGUUUGAGAGGACGAACAGCCACACUGGGACUGAGACACGGCCCAGACUCCUACGGGAGGCAGCAGUGGGGAAUUUUGGACAAUGGGGGAAACCCUGAUCCAGCCAUCCAGCGUGGGCGAUGAAGGCCUUCGGGUUGUAAAGCACUUUUGGCAGGAAAGCGGUACCUGCAGAAUAAGCACCGGCUAACUACGUGCCAGCAGCCGCGGUAAUAC
rnacentral:rRNA from 1 species